rnacentral:rRNA from 1 species
AGAGUUUGAUCCUGGCUCAGGACGAACGCUGGCGGCGCGCCUAACACAUGCAAGUCGAACGAGCGAGAGAGAGCUUGCUUUCUCGAGCGAGUGGCGAACGGGUGAGUAACGCGUGAGGAACCUGCCUCAAAGAGGGGGACAACAGUUGGAAACGACUGCUAAUACCGCAUAAGCCCACAGCUCGGCAUCGAGCAGAGGGAAAAGGAGCAAUCCGCUUUGAGAUGGCCUCGUGUCCGAUUAGCUGGUUGGUGAGGUAACGGCCCACCAAGGCGACGAUCGGUAGCCGGACUGAGAGGUUGAACGGCCACAUUGGGACUGAGACACGGCCCAGACUCCUACGGGAGGCAGCAGUGGGGAAUAUUGCACAAUGGGGGAAACCCUGAUGCAGCGACGCCGCGUGGAGGAAGAAGGUCUUCGGAUUGUAAACUCCUGUUGUUGAGGAAGAUAAUGACGGUACUCAACAAGGAAGUGACGGCUAACUACGUGCCAGCAGCCGCGGUAAAACGUAGGUCACAAGCGUUGUCCGGAAUUACUGGGUGUAAAGGGAGCGCAGGCGGGAAGACAAGUUGGAAGUGAAAUCUAUGGGCUCAACCCAUAAACUGCUUUCAAAACUGUUUUUCUUGAGUAGUGCAGAGGUAGGCCGGAAUUCCCGGUGUAGCGGUGGAAUGCGUAGAUAUCGGGAGGAACACCAGUGGCGAAGGCGGCCUACUGGGCACCAACUGACGCUGAGGCUCGAAAGUGUGGGUAGCAAACAGGAUUAGAUACCGUGGUAGUCCACACCGUAAACGAUGAUUACUAGGUGUUGGAGGAUUGACCCCUUCAGUGCCGCAGUUAACACAAUAAGUAAUCCACCUGGGGAGUACGACCGCAAGGUUGAAACUCAAAGGAAUUGACGGGGGCCCGCACAAGCAGUGGAGUAUGUGGUUUAAUUCGACGCAACGCGAAGAACCUUACCAAGUCUUGACAUCCUACGACGUGCAUAGAAAUAUGUAUUUCCUUCGGGACGCAGAGACAGGUGGUGCAUGGUUGUCGUCAGCUCGUGUCGUGAGAUGUUGGGUUAAGUCCCGCAACGAGCGCAACCCUUACUGUCAGUUACUACGCAAGAGGACUCUGGCAGGACUGCCGUUGACAAAACGGAGGAAGGUGGGGAUGACGUCAAAUCAUCAUGCCCUUUAUGACUUGGGCUACACACGUACUACAAUGGCGUUAAACAAAGAGAAGCAAGACCGCGAGGUGGAGCAAAACUCAGAAACAACGUCCCAGUUCGGACUGCAGGCUGCAACUCGCCUGCACGAAGUCGGAAUUGCUAGUAAUCGUGGAUCAGCAUGCCACGGUGAAUACGUUCCCGGGCCUGUACACACCGCCCGUC